AUGCUGAAAGCUGGGUACCGAAAGAGAUCUUUCUACGGUGGACCAGACUACAAAUGUACCAACUGUGGUGCAGUCUUCUGGUUCGAGGAGAGGGUGAGAUCGGAAUCCGCUAUUACGCUAAGGCGGGUGGUUUACAACAAAUGUUGUAAGAGUGGUAAGGUGUAUAUUACACCUUUUAAAAAGCCACCUUUGUUUCUCUCUGAGUUGCUGAGAUACAAUGGUCCCUCGCGUAGCAGAGAGUUUAUAAAAAAAUCGCCAGUACAACUGCCUCUUUGCAUUUACUUCCAUGGGAACUACUGUUGA
rnacentral:rRNA from 1 species